rnacentral:lncRNA from 1 species
AACCAGAUGCUCCGCAGGGCGCAGCUUUAUACGACCCCAGAGGUUGAACCCUGAACGGUUGGGGCAAGUAUGGACACAACAUUCAAGCUGGAUUCAGCUCUAAAUUUGGAUUGUGAUUAAAUAGUUGACACAGCAUAGGUUUCUGACACAGAAUGAAUGUGUUCUAAUGAACUUAAAAUUUUUGUUUUCUCUUAGAGCAAUUCACUAUGCUGUUGAAUAUUAAUCCUCUCAAAAAAAUGUUUGAAGAAAUUUUCUUUUUAAUUUAUGAAAUUUCAAAUGAGAAAAAUUGAACCCAAUUUUUUUAAUCACAUCCCCCUUUCCCUUAUUCCAAAACUAAUCUCAAUUAAAAUUUCUAAUGGAGUUUGCAACAAUAACUACUCAUUUAAAUACAUCAUAAAAUAUUAAGAUGUAAAAAAACUGCUUGAUAUCACUGAAUGGUAAAGAUUAUUUUAAUUUAUCAGUUGGUAGUAAAAAGUGAAUAUACAUACAUUGUAUAUUGUAUAUAACAAAGAUUUAGGUUGAUUCUGGACAAAGAAAGAUAACUCCAAUUAAAAAAAAAUCUUGCUAUUGCACAAUAUUUUGCAAUUAGAUAUUUCUUGCUUACUAUUCUGGACAAAGAAAGAUAACUCUAAUUAAAAAAAAAUUUGCUAUUUCACAAUAUUGUGCAAUUAGAUAUUUCUUGCCAUUGCGCAAUACUGUGCAAUUGAAAAGACUUGCUAUUGCACAAUACUUAAUAUAAUAAUUUUAGAUCCUGAUUUGGACCAACUUGAAAACUGGGCCCAUAAUAAAAAAAUCUAAGUACAUUUUUGGAUUCAGCAUAUCAAAGAAACCCAAAGAUUUCAAUUUUUGUUAAAAUCAGACUUAAGUUUAAUUUUGGACCCUUUGGACUUUAAGUGUAGACCAAUUUGAAAACAGGACCAAAAAAUGAAGAAUCUACAUACACAGUUAGAUUUGGUAUAUCAAAGAACCUCAUUUAUUCAAUUUUUGAUGAAAUCAAACAAAGUUUAAUUUUGGACCCUGAUUUGGACCAACUUGAAAACUGGGCCAAUAAUCAAGAAUCUAAGUACAUUUUUAGAUUCAGCAUAUCAAAGAACCCUAACUGAUUCAUUUUUUGUCAAAAUCAAACUAAGUUUUAUUUUGGACCCUUUGGACCUUAAUGUAGAUCAAUUUGAAAACGGGACCAAAAGUUAAGAAUCUACAUACACAGUCAUGACAGUUAGAUUUGGCAUAUCAAAGAACCCCAAUUAUUCAAUUUUGAUGAAAUCAAACAAAGUUUAAUUUUGGACCCUUUGGGCCCCUUAUUCUGUUGGGACCAAAACUCCCAAAAUCAAUACCAACCUUCCUUUUAUGGUCAUAAACCUUGUGUUUAAAUUUCAUAGAUUUCUAUUUACUUAUACUAACGUUAUGGUGCGAAAACCAAGAAAAAUGCUUAUUUGGGUCCCUUUUUGGCCCCUAAUUCCUAAACUGUUGGGACCUAAACUCCCAAAAUCAAUACCAACCUUCCUUUUGUAGUCAUUGUUUAAAUUUCAUUGAUUUCUAUUUACUUAAACUAAAGUUAUUGUGCGAAAACCAAGAAUAAUGCUUAUUUGGGCCCUUUUUUGGCCCCUAAUUCCUAAACUGUUGAAACCAAAAUUCCCAAAAUCAAUCCCAACUGUUCUUUUGUGGUCAUAUACCUUGUGUCAAAAUUUUAUAGAUUUCUAUUAACUUAAACUAAAGUUAUAGUGCGAAAACCAAGAAAAUGCUUAUUUGGGCCCUUUUUGGCCCCUAAUUCCUAAAAUGUUGGGACCAAAACUCCCAAAAUCAAUACCAACCUUCCUUUUGUGGUCAUAAACCUUGUGUUAAAAUUUCAUAGAUUUCCAUUCACUUUUACUAAAGUUAGAGUGCGAAAACUAAAAGUAUUCGGACGACGACGCAGACGACGACGCCAACGUGAUAGCAAUAUACGACGAAAAAUUUUUUCAAAUUUUGCGGUCGUAUAAAAAUCUUAAUAAUAACCGUUUUAACAGUUUAAGUUAUAGAUGUUUCAUAUCUUUUGGAUAGUUUUGAGGUGUUUCGUAAAUAAUAUCAUAGUUUUGUUGACAGCCCCGGCCUUAACCUUUGCCAUGGUGUUUCAACAAAACUAUGUUAUAAUUUACGAAACACCACAAAACUACCCAAAAAUAUGAAAUAUCUGUUUUAACCUAUAGCAUCUUUUAAUGUUAAAUUUUGUUAAGAAUUGGCUAAAUAGUAAACACAAAGCUCUGCCUUCUAUAUAAUAAGCACGGAAAUUUUGAAACCACAGGAAUAUCAGUUAGACCUGAAUUUUCAUCUCCGAAGGAUGCACAUUUACAUGGCUGGCGGAUAAUGCUACAGAUCUAGACAAACAUAUAGUGAAGGAAUAAGAUUUACUGGAAAUGGAUGCAAGAUUAGUCACAGAUUUUUUGAUAGUUGGAAGCUCUCUGGAGUCCCACGUUUAGGGUUAGUUUUCUUUUUAAUUUUCAACUCAACUAUCAAAAUGUUAUAUUGUUUUUACUGAAAACGAGAAAAUUCAUUUCAACAGAGCUACACUGUAUUACGGUUUAUGACCCCUUCUUAAGCCAUGUGAACUUAAAUUUCAAAUUGCAAUAGUAUAAAAAAAAAUAAUUCAUGAAUAAUAGAGAUGCCGGGGCUGUUUUGUACAUAUAACAAACACGGCUGGUAAUCUACACAAGCAGAACAUUUGGUUCUGCAAUGAAAACCGUGAGAGGAUUUUCCGGUUGUGCUUGAGUGGAGUAAUUGUCACCGCUUCAAAAAGUAUGUACAUUUUCAAAUCUCAAUUUUCUUAUUUAACUGAUCAAAAUAUUGAAAAUCGGAGAAUGCUAUGCUGUGGUGAAUACUUUAACGAAGAGAUACAUGUAUCAUUUACUCUUGUACGUAGAUUUGAACUCCUACAAAAUCAGUUGUCCCACGAGAAAUUGCCUAAAAAAGUGACAUUUCAAUUUUGAAAUGGUUCUAUUUACAGACCUACAAGUUCAAAUUUAGUUUUUUUUUCGUGCAAUGGGUAUGAAUGUUGUUUUUGGCGGCGUGUGCGCUGUCCUGUGUUGAUAGACGUCUUAAUAAUUCCAAAAACUACAUUUUUUCAUGAAGUCAUGAUUGAGGGGAUCGGUUCUGAUUGAGGACAUCGUGAAUGCGUGAGGGGAAGUACAAACAUUUUUUUUUAAUCUUUGGCUUUGUGACUUUUGUUGACUCAAUGAAUAAAUGUGAUCAAAUCAAUGCUGAUUAAAAAACACAUAUUUAUCCUUAUGCUUUAAUAGACGUAAACUGAUCACUGAUUCAAUGAACUAUAAUUUGUUUGUUCAAUUUCAGAAAAUGCCAUUGUUCAAAGGAAAAAGGAAAAGAGGACUGAAAUUGACUCUCUACAAAAAGCCAUGGAGAUACAAGUUAUCCCCGCACUCGAAGUGAACUAAACCCUCUGGGAACUGUAAAAAUCAGUUGAAAAAAGCUUAAUGAAAAUUCAUGUUAUACAUAUUUAUGAAAGGAGUUAUCUCCCCUAAAAUAGUUUAUUUAAAAAAAAAGAUGAUUCUAAAAACAUAAAAUUUUAUAUUUGUUUAAAUAGUUUGAUUUAUUCAAUAAAUCACCAAAUAUAUAUUCUUUAUAUGAAUAAAGUCUAACUAUUGAAUUGCAAAUCUGUCUCCAAAUUUGCAGAUGUGGGCAAAUAAUCGGUCUAGUUUUUACUUGUAGCAAGAAAACAAAAUCGUUGACAACAUUUUUUGUCUUUAUUCUUCGUGAAACAUAUUAUUAAACCUAGGUUCCUACAAUUAUUUCAUAAUCCAAUCUCAUAAACUUUUUUAAGGACACUCACAUAUGUGUUUUUUCAUGAACAAUGUAGCCAAAUUUAGGUAAGCUUCAACGACUUAUAGCUUGAAUAUAAAGAUAUGAUUUGUACCUCCCCUCACGCAUUCACAAUGUCCUCAAUCAGAACCGAUCCCCUCACGCAUGACUUCAUGAAAAAAUGUAGUUUUUGGAAUUAUUAAGACGUCUAUCAACACAGGACAGCGCACACGCCGCCAAAAACAACAUUCAUACCCAUUGCACGAAAAAAAACUAAAUUUGAACUUGUAGGUCUGUAAAUAGAACCAUUUCAAAAUUGAAAUGUCACUUUUUUAGGCAAUUUCUCGUGGGACAACUGAUUUUGUAGGAGUUCAACUCUACGUACAACAGUAAAUGAUACAUGUAUCUCUUCGUUAAAGUAUUCACCACAUCAUAGCAUUCUCCGAUUUUCAAUAUUUUGAUCAGUUGAAUAAGAAAAUUGAAAUUUAGAAAUGUACAUACCUUUUGAAGCGGUGACAAUUACUCCACUCAAGCACAACCGGAAAAUCCUCUCACGGUUUUCACUGCAGAACCAAAUGUUCUGCGUGUGUAGAUUACCAGCCGUGACAAAGAGAAACAUUGCGCAAAGCUUUAAUAGAAAAUAAAUUUUGUAGUCUUUAAUUUUGGGUAACCAUUUGCUAUCAAAUUUAAACGGUCCAACAUUUAUAUUGUUAUAAAUACCGGUAGUCUAAUUCCUUAACUAUAUACAUGUAUAUGAAGCUCCUUAAAAGAGAUGUGCCUGCUUUUCCCUCCCUCUUAAAAAAACCUCUGCAAUAUUGAAUGUAAAAGAUAGCUGUACAUUGGAGACUAUGAUAAUGUAUGAGGAUACAAUCUAGGUACCGGUAUAUAUUCCCAUAACUGAAUUUAAAGCAGCUUAAGGUGGCUCGGGCCUAUUCGAAGUUUCUAUCAGAAGUGCCGUAUUUUUUGUUAUUUUAUUCUUUAAAGAAAAUGAAUCAAAUUGGUCGAAAAAAAUAGGGGGUCACGGACCAUUUAAGAUCAAAAUUUUACUUUUAAACAGGUAUGUAAAUGGGACCAUUUUUCAAUGAAAUGAUAGGGAAAAUACA